CCUACGGGAGGCAGCAGUGGGGAAUAUUGCACAAUGGGGGAAACCCUGAUGCAGCAACGCCGCGUGAAGGAAGACGGUUUUCGGAUUGUAAACCUCUGUUCUUAGUGAAGAAUAAUGACGGUAGCUAAGGAGCAAGCGACGGCCAACUACGUGCCAGCAGCCGCGGUAAUACGUAGGUGGCAAGCGUUGUCCGGUAUUACUGGGUGUAAAGGGAGCUCAGGCGGGAAGCCAAGUCAGCUGUGAAAACUACGGGCUUAAAUUGUAGACAGCUGUUGAAACUGGUUUUCUUGAGUGAAGUAGAGGUUGGCGGAAUGCGGGGUGUAGCGGUGAAAUGCGUAGAUAUUCGGAGGAACACCGAUGGCGAAGGCGGCCAACUGGGCUUUCACUGACGCUGAGGCUCGAAAGUGUGGGGAUCGAACAGGAUUAGAUACCCGGGUAGUC
rnacentral:rRNA from 1 species